GUAGGGGACCUGUGGCUGGAUCACCU
rnacentral:rRNA from 2 species